rnacentral:rRNA from 1 species
UAGGGAAUAUUGGACAAUGGGUGAGAGCCUGAUCCAGCCAUGCCGCGUGAGUGACGAAGGCCUUAGGGUUGUAAAGCUCUUUUGGCGGGGAAGAUAAUGACGGUACCCGCAGAAUAAGCUCCGGCUAACUUCGUGCCAGCAGCCGCGGUAAUACGAAGGGAGCUAGCGUUGUUCGGAAUCACUGGGCGUAAAGCGCACGUAGGUGGGCAGUUAAGUCAGGGGUGAAAGCCCGAGGCUCAACCUCGGAAUUGCCUCUGAUACUGGCUGUCUAGAGUUCGAGAGAGGUGAGUGGAAUUCCUAGUGUAGAGGUGAAAUUCGUAGAUAUUAGGAAGAACACCGGUGGCGAAGGCGGCUCACUGGCUCGAUACUGACACUGAGGCGCGAAAGCGUGGGGAGCAAACAGGAUUAGAUACCCCAGUAGUCCCUGAGCGGGCUGGCAAGGCGCAU